AUUAUCAAGAUCGUUUUUUCAACAGUCUAGCAACAAGGAUACACAGUAUAUAAUGCAUGACUUGAUAAGAAACCUCGCCCGAUCUGUCAAUGAGGAAAUAUGCUUUAAUUUGGAUGAUAAGCUAGAGGGAGCAAAACCAAAUCCCAAGGUACGACAUUCAUCAUUUUCUCGUCAUGUUUGUGACAUAUCAAAAAGAUUUGAAGUCUUCAAUGAAAUGAAGAGCUUGCGGACAUUCUUGGCAUUGCCAGUCUUGCCAUCAUAUUAUCACCAAUUAAGCAGUAAGGUGUUGCAUGAAUUUGUGCCAAAAUUAAGAUGCUUAACGGUACUAUCAUUGGCUGGUUAUUGUUUUGAUGAGUUGCCAAGUUCUAUUGGUGCCUUAAAGCAUUUGCGAUACCUUAAUCUGUCUUAUAGUGAAAUUUCAAUGUUACCUGAAUCAUCUAGUAAGCUCUUCAACUUGCAGACUUUGAAGUUAUGUGGGUGCCGGAAACUUACUAAGUUGCCUACAGGUAUCAGCAAUCUGAUAAACUUGAUGCAUCUUGAUAUUAGUGAUACAGAUAGUUUGCAAGAGAUGCCACCUCAUAUGGGUAAUUUGACAAAUCUCCACUCCUUUUCUAAGUUUAUAGUAGGGGAAGGCCAUGGACGUGGCAUAAUGGAGUUGAUGAAAUUAUCUCAUUUGCGUGGGGAGCUUCGUAUUACAGGGUUGCAUAAUGUGGCAAAUGUUCGGGAUUCAGAGCUUGUCAAUCUAAAGGAGAAGCAGAAUAUUGAUGCAUUAGCCUUGGAAUGGAUUGGUAACUUCCAUGGUGUGCGAAAUUUAAGGGAUGAACUACAGGUGCUCAAUUCAUUACAGCCUCAUCAAAAUCUGCACAAGCUUUCUGUUAAAUUCUACGGUGGAACAAUAUUCCCUUUGUGGAUAGGGGAUCCUAAAUUCAUUAAUAUGAUGCAUUUAGAACUCUGCAAUUGUCAAAAAAUCACCUCUCUACCACCAGUUGGACAACUACCCUUACUUAAGAAGUUGAGCAUAUUAGGCAUGGAUGGAGUAAAAGAAGUGGGCAUUGAGUUUUAUGGGGUUCGUUCUUCUUCUGCUAAAGCUUUUCCAUCUCUGGAGACUCUAACCAUAAAGAAUAUGGUGCAGUGGGAACAAUGGUCCAGUGAAGAGCUUCAACAAAUAUUUAUCAAUCUGCGUGAACUUAGGAUGAGAAAUUGUCCAAAGUUGGUUGGGAAAUUACCCAGGUUCCUUCCUUCCCUGGAAAACCUUGAUAUUUGUGAUUGCCCACAAUUAGUAGAGUUGCCUGAAAUCCUUCCAUCUCUUCGUAAACUGAAAGUUGAAAAAUGUCAAGAGAUGUUUCUUAGAAGUGCGCGUGAUCUAGUUUCCCUCACCACCUUAAAAAUUAAGAGAAUUUCAGGCCUUGUAAGUUUACAUGAAGUGCUUAUACAGGCUUUGAUUGCACUUGAAGAUCUGGAGAUUGUAGGUUGUCAUGAGUUAAUGUACUUGUGGCCAGAUGGAAGUAAUGUAAACAAAUUUGCUAGUAUGCGACGUUUAGAUAUCCAACACUGUAAGCAGCUUGUAUCAUUGGUAGGGGGAGGGGAAGGGUUUUUGCCGUGCAAUCUUGAAGUGUUGAGCAUUCAAAAGUGUGGACACCUGAACAAGCUCCCAGAUGGGCUGCACAGCCUCACAUCUCUCAGAUUUUUGAGAAUCAGUAGUUGUCCAAAGCUCGUGUCCUUUCCCACAACAGGUCUGCCAAACUCUCUUAGACAACUCAUGAUCAUGGAUUGUAAUUCUUUGGUGUCCCUACCUGAGGGAAUUAUAUGCAAUGGUAAUGAUGCCAAUGAGAUGUCUUAUCUUCAGAAUUUGGCUAUUGAAGGAUGUUCAUCUCACAUGUCCUUUCCGAUUGGCAAGUUCCCUGAUUCAUUUAGAACUCUUACAAUUUGCUUUUGCACAAAACAAUUGUUAGAGUUGCAAAGUGAUAGGCUUUUGCAUCUAACUUACUUAGAAAUAAAAGACUGUCAUGAGCUAGAGUGUUUCCCAGAAGUGGGAUUGCCCAUCCCAACUCUUAUCUAUUUUACAAUUUCAAGGUGUGAGAAUUUGAAGUGUCUACCCAGUCAGAUGCAAAACUUGGCGUCUCUUCAAUAUUUGGAGAUAUAUGAUUGUGGAGGAAUGUUGUCCUUUCCAGAAGGAGGUUUUCCACCAAACUUAACUACGCUUCGAAUAAGGGAUUGCAAGAAUUUGAGGCAGCCAAUGUAUGAGUGGGGACUUCAUAGACUCACCUAUCUUAGAAGACUUUCAAUCAAAGGCACAAGUCCGAGUACAGAUAUUGCUUCCUUUCCUGAUAAUGGUCUUUUGCUUCCAACUUCUCUAACCUUGCUUUGGAUAGAUGGACUUAAGAACCUAAAAUGCAUAUCCAAGGGCCUCCAAAGCCUCACCUCUCUUGAAAAUUUAUGGAUUUGGAAUUGUCCUAAACUCCGUUCCUUACCAAAGGAGGGCCUCCCUGCUACACUUGGAUUCCUAGAAAUCUUAUCCUGUCCUCUUCUAAAACAAAGGUGCUUAAAUGGGAAAGGAGACUAUUGGCCCAUCAUUGCUCCCAUCCCCUGUGUUAUUAUAGAUUCGAAGUUGUCUGAGAUGCCCUUGAAUCCAUGGUUUAUGCCACAUUACUUGGUUCAAACUUGGGGUCAUGCCUAAUGGCUUUGACAUCAUAAAAAUAUUCUUUGUUGAGGUAAUUUUCCUGGUCUAUUUAGUGUUUUUAUUUCAUUUAUUUCUCUCCUAGUAAGAUACAUCUCACUUCUUGUAGUAGCUCAUUCUCAUUCACAUUUUGUUAUCUAUCCCAGUGCUUUACGUAUCAUUUUGUACAACAUGCAGUUACAACUUGAAGUUUUCUUUUGA
rnacentral:misc_RNA from 1 species